GGGAAGGUGGCUCAGUGGUAGAGUGCUUGCCUUGCAUGCAUAAGGCCUUGGGUUUGAUUCCUCAGCACCCCA
rfam:Dipodomys ordii contig_74928, whole genome shotgun sequence.